CCUACGGGAGGCAGCAGUGAGGAAUAUUGGUCAAUGGGCGUAAGCCUGAACCAGCCAAGUCGCGUGAGGGAUGAAGGUUCUAUGGAUUGUAAACUUCUUUUAUAAGGGAAUAAAGCGCGGUACGUGUCCCGCUUUGCAUGUACCUUAUGAAUAAGGAUCGGCUAACUCCGUGCCAGCAGCCGCGGUAAUACGGAGGAUCCGAGCGUUAUCCGGAUUUAUUGGGUUUAAAGGGUGCGUAGGCGGCCUUUUAAGUCAGCGGUGAAAGUCUGUGGCUCAACCAUAGAAUUGCCGUUGAAACUGGCAGGCUUGAGUAUGUGUGAGGCAGGCGGAAUGCGUGGUGUAGCGGUGAAAUGCUUAGAUAUCACGCAGAACCCCGAUUGCGAAGGCAGCCUGCCAAGCCAUGACUGACGCUGAUGCACGAAAGCGUGGGGAUCGAACAGGAUUAGAUACCCGGGUAGUC
rnacentral:rRNA from 1 species